rnacentral:rRNA from 1 species
UGGGGAAUAUUGGACAAUGGGGGCAACCCUGAUCCAGCAAUGCCGCGUGUGUGAUGAAGGCCCUAGGGUUGUAAAGCACUUUCAAUGGUGACGAUGAUGACGGUAACCGUAGAAGAAGCCCCGGCUAACUUCGUGCCAGCAGCCGCGGUAAUACGAAGGGGGCGAGCGUUAUUCGGAAUAACUGGGCGUAAAGGGCGCGUAGGCGGUCUAUCCAGUUGGGCGUGAAAGCCCUGGGCUCAACCCAGGAAUUGCGUCCAAUACUAGUAGACUAGAGACCGAGAGAGGAUAGUGGAAUUUCCAGUGUAGAGGUGAAAUUCGUAGAUAUUGGAAAGAACACCAGUGGCGAAAGCGGCUAUCUGGCUCGGUUCUGACGCUGAGGCGCGAAAGCGUGGGGAGCAAACAGG